GAACGGUGAACACGGAGCUUGCUUCGUGGGAUCAGUGGCGAACGGGAGAGUAACACGUGAGCAACCUGCCCCUGACUCUGGGAUAAGCGCUGGAAACGGCGUCUAAUACUGGAUACGAGACGUGAUCGCAUGGUCAACGUCUGGAAAGAAUUUCGGUUGGGGAUGGGCUCGCGGCCUAUCAGCUUGUUGGUGAGGUAAUGGCUCACCAAGGCGUCGACGGGUAGCCGGCCUGAGAGGGUGACCGGCCACACUGGGACUGAGACACGGCCCAGACUCCUACGGGAGGCAGCAGUGGGGAAUAUUGCACAAUGGGCGCAAGCCUGAUGCAGCAACGCCGCGUGAGGGAUGACGGCCUUCGGGUUGUAAACCUCUUUUAGCAGGGAAGAAGCGAAAGUGACGGUACCUGCAGAAAAAGCGCCGGCUAACUACGUGCCAGCAGCCGCGGUAAUACGUAGGGCGCAAGCUUUAUCCGGAAUUAUUGGGCGUAAAGAGCUCGUAGGCGGUUUGUCGCGCCUGCUGUGAAACCCCGAGGCUCAACCUCGGGCUUGCAGUGGGUACGGGCAGAC
rnacentral:rRNA from 2 species